rnacentral:rRNA from 1 species
GCACCUUACGAGAAAUCAAAGUUUUUGGUUCUGGGGGAUUAUGGUCGCAAGGCUGAAACUUAAAGAAAUUGACGGAAGGUCACCACCAGGCGUGGAGCCUGCGGCUUAAUUUGACUCAACACGGGGAAACUCACCAGGUCCAGAUGAAAUAAGGAUUGACAGAUUGAGAGCUCUUUCUUGAUUUUUCAGGUGGUGGUGCAUGGCCGUUCUUAGUUCGUGGGGUGACUUGUCUGCUUAAUUGCGAUAACGAGCGAGACCUUACUCUGCUAAAUAGCCAGGCUAACUUUGGUUGGUCGCCGGCUUCUUAGAGAGACUAUCAACUCAAGUUGAUGGAAGUUUGAGGCAAUAACAGGUCUGUGAUGCCCUUAGAUGUUCUGGGCCGCACGAGCGCUACACUGACAGAGCCAACGAGUUCUUCACCUUGUUCGAAAGAAUUGGGUAAUCUUGUUAAACUCUGUCGUGCUGGGGAUAAAGCAUUGCAAUUAUUGCUUUUCAACGAGGAAUGCCUAGUAAGCGCGUGUCAUCAGCAUGCGUUGAUUACGUCCCUGACCUUUGUACACACCGCCCGUCGCUACCACCGAUUGAAUGGCUCAGUGAGGCCUUCAGACUGGCUCGAGGAGGUUGGCAACGACCACCUCAAGCCGGAAAGUUCGUCAAACUUGGUC